rnacentral:rRNA from 2 species
GUCGAACGCUUCUUUUUCCACCGGAGCUUGCUCCACCGGAAAAAGAGGAGUGGCGAACGGGUGAGUAACACGUGGGUAACCUGCCCAUCAGAAGGGGAUAACACUUGGAAACAGGUGCUAAUACCGUAUAACAAUCGAAACCGCAUGGUUUUGAUUUGAAAGGCGCUUUCGGGUGUCGCUGAUGGAUGGACCCGCGGUGCAUUAGCUAGUUGGUGAGGUAACGGCUCACCAAGGCGACGAUGCAUAGCCGACCUGAGAGGGUGAUCGGCCACAUUGGGACUGAGACACGGCCCAAACUCCUACGGGAGGCAGCAGUAGGGAAUCUUCGGCAAUGGACGAAAGUCUGACCGAGCAACGCCGCGUGAGUGAAGAAGGUUUUCGGAUCGUAAAACUCUGUUGUUAGAGAAGAACAAGGAUGAGAGUAACUGUUCAUCCCUUGACGGUAUCUAACCAGAAAGCCACGGCUAACUACGUGCCAGCAGCCGCGGUAAUACGUAGGUGGCAAGCGUUGU